CUCAGUUGGCGCUCGCUCUGCGCUCUGCCCGUCAGCACUCAGCUGUUGCUGCUGCUGCCUGGCCUUUUCCUGCUGCCUGCUCUGGAGCACCAAUCCCAGCAGGAUGAGCACUGCUGCGCCAGUGGAGACUUCCAGAGACACUGUGGUGGCGAUGGAAGUGGACAUGGUGCUGAAUGAGGAAGAAAUGAUGGAGGUGGACGUGGAAGAGCAGGUUGAGGAGAUGGAAGUAGAUGUGGAGGAUGACAUCGAGGAGAUGGAAGUGGACGAGAAGGAUGAGGAGGAGCCCAUGGUCCUUGGAUGAAGAUGGAGCCCCACAAGACUGCUGGAGAUGAUGGCUGUAGAUAUUCCGGCAGUGUAGAUGUGUUUGAAAAGUUAGAUUUUUUAUUGUAAAUAUGUUCUUUGGUUAGUAGUUCUUUGUAAAUAUGUUUUGAAGAUUGUUAGU